rnacentral:rRNA from 1 species
GAUGAACGCUGGCGGCGUGCCUAACACAUGCAAGUCGAGCGAUUCUCUUCGGAGAAGAGCGGCGGACGGGUGAGUAACGCGUGGGUAACCUGCCCUGUACACACGGAUAACAUACCGAAAGGUAUGCUAAUACGAGAUAAUAUACUUUUAUCGCAUGGUAGAAGUAUCAAAGCUUUUGCGGUACAGGAUGGACCCGCGUCUGAUUAGCUAGUUGGUAAGGUAACGGCUUACCAAGGCGACGAUCAGUAGCCGACCUGAGAGGGUGAUCGGCCACACUGGAACUGAGACACGGUCCAAACUCCUACGGGAGGCAGCAGUGGGGAACAUUGCACAAUGGGCGAAAGCCUGAUGCAGCAACGCCGCGUGAGCGAUGAAGGCCUUCGGGUCGUAAAGCUCUGUCCUCAAGGAAGAUAAUGACGGUACUUGAGGAGGAAGCCCCGGCUAACUACGUGCCAGCCGCCGCGGUAACAC